rnacentral:rRNA from 1 species
AUUGAACGCUGGCGGCAGGCCUAACACAUGCAAGUCGAACGAGUGGCGGACGGGUGAGUUAUGUCUGGGAAACUCCAUGAUGGAGGGGGACAACUACUGGAAACGGUAGCUACUACCGACUACAAUCAGAUGUGCCCAGAUGGGAUUCGCUUGUUGGUGGGGUAACGGCUCACCAAGGAGCCGAUCCCUAGCUGGUCUGAGAGGAUGACCAGCAACACUGGAACGUAGACACGGUCCAGACUCCUACGGGAGGCAGCAGUGGGGAAUAUUGCACAAGGGGCGCAAGCCUGAUGCAGCCAUGCCGCGUGUAUGAAGAAGGCCUUCGGGUUGUAAAGUACGUUCAGCGGGGAGGCGUUACCCGAAGAAGAAGCACCGGCUAACUCCGUGCCAGCAGCCGCGGUAAUAC